AUUCAGACCCAGCCACACUCCAUCUUCCGGAGCCCUUGUCAGUGUAUAUACAGCAAGCCGCUGCAGCAAAAACCAUCGGCGUUCUAGCCAAGGACUCCACCAAACUGGCCGAAGAGAUGAUCCAGCUGAGAGUGGUGCACGGCCUUAUGUGUGCUAUGGGGAACCAGGAUCACACCACCUGCCAGAGACAGGCCAGCAUCACUCUAGAGUAUUUUGUCCGGACAUUUCCCAUUGUGGAGCAGCAUGUGAGGAAGGCAACAGGAGAGACUCUGUUCCAGCUUUUUAUGGUAAAUG